rnacentral:rRNA from 1 species
AUUGAACGCUGGCGGCAGGCCUAACACAUGCAAGUCGAACGGUAGCACAGAGAGCUUGCUCUCGGGUGACGAGUGGCGGACGGGUGAGUAAUGUCUGGGAAACUGCCCGAUGGAGGGGGAUAACUACUGGAAACGGUAGCUAAUACCGCAUAAUGUCGCAAGACCAAAGAGGGGGACCUUCGGGCCUCUUGCCAUCGGAUGUGCCCAGAUGGGAUUAGCUUGUUGGUGAGGUAAUGGCUCACCAAGGCGACGAUCCCUAGCUGGUCUGAGAGGAUGACCAGCCACACUGGAACUGAGACACGGUCCAGACUCCUACGGGAGGCAGCAGUGGGGAAUAUUGCACAAAGGGCGCAAGCCUGAUGCAGCCAUGCCGCGUGUGUGAAGAAGGCCUUCGGGUUGUAAAGCACUUUCAGCGGGGAGGAAGGCAAUGCGGUUAAUAACCGUGUUGAUUGACGUUACCCGCAGAAGAAGCACCGGCUAACUCCGUG